GAUGAACGCUGGCGGCGUGCUUAACACAUGCAAGUCGAACGGAAAGGCCCAAGCUUGCUUGGGUACUCGAGUGGCGAACGGGUGAGUAACACGUGGGUGAUCUGCCCUGCACUUCGGGAUAAGCCUGGGAAACUGGGUCUAAUACUGUAUAGGACCACUUCUUGGAUGGUGUGGUGGAAAGUUUUUUCGGUGUGGGAUGAGCUCGCGGCCUAUCAGCUUGUUGGUGGGGUAAUGGCCUACCAAGGCGUCGACGGGUAGCCGGCCUGAGAGGGUGUACGGCCACAUUGGGACUGAGAUACGGCCCAGACUCCUACGGGAGGCAGCAAUGGGGAAUAUUGCACAAUGGGCGCAAGCCUGAUGCAGCGACGCCGCGUGGGGGAUGACGGCCUUCGGGUUGUAAACUCCUUUCGCUAGGGACGAAGCGUUUUUGUGACGGUACCUGGAGAAGAAGCACCGGCUAACUACGUG
rnacentral:rRNA from 1 species